AACGUAGGAGACAAACGUUAUCCGGAGUUACUGGGCGUAAAGGGCGUGUAGGUGGUUUUGUAAGUCUGGCGUGAAAAUUUUUCGGCUUAACCGGGAAAGGUCGUCGGAUACUGCAAGGCUAGAGGACGGUAGAGGCGUGUGGAAUUCCGGGUGUAGUGGUGAAAUGCGUAGAGAUCCGGAGGAACACCAGUGGCGAAGGCGACACGCUGGGCCGUACCUGACACUGAUGCGCGACAGCAUGGGGAGCAAACAGG
rnacentral:rRNA from 1 species